CUUAGUGGAUGUAUGAUUUGGCAAAAUAAUGGCUGCUGAAAAAGUGUAAAGCUUAUCUUUGUUUGAAAUCAAUCCAUGGUAAAACUAGUGUUGUUUUCUCUAUGUUGAGGAUUUUCUAGAGAGUGUAUUAAUCUUGUUGGAUUGAUCGCUUAAGAGCUGAGUGCUUAAAACUUUCUUAGAAUCUUAUUCUGCAUUCGAUACGAUCACAUUAUUUGUUGGUAGGGUGUGAUCUUAAUUGUGC